rnacentral:rRNA from 1 species
ACAGAGGUGGCGAGCGUUGUUCGGAUUUACUGGGCGUAAAGGGCGCGUAGGCGGCGGAGUGUGUCGGGUGUGAAAUCCCAGGGCCCAACCCUGGAAGUGCGCCCGAAACUGCUCCGCUCGAGUGCGGGAGGGGAGAUCGGAAUGCAGGGUGUAGCGGUGAAAUGCGUUGAUAUCCUGCAGAACACCGGUGGCGAAGGCGGAUCUCUGGAACGCAACUGACGCUGAGGCGCGAAAGUCGGGGGAGCAAACAG